CGACGUAAAGAAACCUGCCUCACAGCUAGGGACAACAUUUAGAAAUGAAUGCUAAUACCUGAUAUUAUGAUUUUAAGGCAUCUUAGAAUUAUGAAAGCUAUAAGCACUGUGAGAGAGCUUUGCGUCCCAUUAGCUAGUUGGAGAGGUAACAGCUCACCAAGGCGAUGAUGGGUAGCCGGCCUGAGAGGGUGAACGGCCACAAGGGGACUGAGACACGGCCCUU
rnacentral:rRNA from 1 species